rnacentral:rRNA from 1 species
UACGGAGGGGCUAGCGUUGUUCGGAAUUACUGGGCGUAAAGCGCACGUAGGCGGCUUUGCAAGUUAGAGGUGAAAGCCCGGGGCUCAACUCCGGAAUUGCCUUUAAAACUGCAUCGCUAGAAUGUUGGAGAGGUAAGUGGAAUUCCGGAGUGUAGAGGUGAAAUCGUAGAUAUUCGGAAGAACACCAGUGGCGAAGGCGACUUACUGGACACAUAUUGACGCUGAGGUGCGAAAGCGUGGGGAGCAAACAGG